UAGUCCACGCCCUAAACGAUGUUUACUCGAUGUUUGGACUUCGGUUUGAGCAUCCAAGGGAAACCAUUAAGUAAACCACCUGGGGAGUACGUUCGCAAGAAUGAAACUCAAAGGAGUUGACGGGGGUCCGCACAAGCGGUGGAGCAUGUGGUUUGAUUCGAUGAUACGCGAGGAACCUUACCAGGGCUUAAAUGUAGAUUGACAGGUUUAGAGAUAGACUUUUCUUCGGACAAUUUACAAGGUGCUGCAUGGUUGUCGUCAGCUCGUGCCGUGAGGUGUCAGGUUAAGUCCUAUAACGAGCGCAACCCCUGUUGUUAGUUGCCAGCGAGUAAUGUCGGGAACUCUAGCAAGACUGCCGGUGCAAACCGCGAGGAAGGUGGGGAUGACGUCAAAUCAUCACGGCCCUUACGUCCCUGGGCCACACACGUGCUACAAUGGUAGGUACAGAGAGCAGCCACUGGGUGACCAGGAGCGAAUCUAUAAAGCCUAUCACAGUUCGGAUCGGAGUCUGCAACUCG
rnacentral:rRNA from 1 species